rnacentral:rRNA from 1 species
CCCCUAGUAACUGCGAGUGAAGCGGGAAAAGCUCAAAUUUAAAAUCCUUCGGGAGUUGUAAUCUGUAGAAGUGUUUUCGGUCGUNGCCUCGGAUAAGUCUCUUGGAACAAAGUGUCAUAGAGGGUGAGAAUCCCGUCCUUGCCGAGCUCCCAGCGUCCUUGUGAUACACUUCCAACUAGUCGAGUUGUUUGGGAAUGCAGCUCAAAAUGGGUGGUAAACUCCAUCUAAAGCUAAAUAUUGGCGAGAGACCGAUAGCGAACAAGUACCGUGAGGGAAAGAUGAAAAGAACUUUGGAAAGAGAGUUAAACAGUACGUGAAAUUGUUAAAAGGGAAACGCUUGGAGUCAGUCGCGUUGCAGGGACUCAGCCUCRCGGUGUACUUUUCUGCAACGGGUCAACAUCAGUUUCGGCCGCGGGAUAAGAGUCGGGGGAAUGUGGCUCUCUCGGGAGUGUUAUAGCCUCUGGCUGUACACCGCGGCGGGGACUGAGGUCUGCUUAAAGGAUGUUG